rnacentral:lncRNA from 1 species
UGCAUUUAUAUUAAAUUAAAGACAUUAUAUGUCUUUUCUGCUUUAAAAGAAAGAAUUUGUGAUGGAAAAUUUGACUCUAUCCCAAAGCAUCCUGUGAAUUUAGUUUAUCUCUUGUGGAGCUUGAACAACAUGUAACACCCCUGAAUAUACUUGUUGCAUUUGUCACAGACCAUUUCAGAUGAAGAAGGCCCAAGCAGAGGGAAAUGUCACCUGCAAAGGGAGGUUAUGCUCUCUACCUGUGAGCAGAACAGGUUUCUGUCAUAUGAUGCAAUAUUAGUUCAUGCAGACUGUCAAGCAUCUGAAAUUGAAACUUGUGUAAAUUAUUAUAUGGCAGAGCAAGUCCUUGGAAAAUGAGAAUAUUUCCUUUGUCAUCAGUGAAGGUGACCUUCCAAGUGAAAGGAAUAAGCUGACUUCCCAACACUGAGGUGAUCUGAAAGAUAUUUGAACAAAAGAUGCAUGCUGUAAUAUAACAUGAAAAAAGGUCGGUAGGUAAGCAUUAAAUUAAAUUACUUUUUUUUUCUUGUUUCUCUUCUGUUUAUCAGCCAGUCAGCCAUUUGGGAAGUACUCGCAGGAGCGGACCCGUUGAAGGACAACGAAAGCUGCCUCUAAGCUGGAAACAUGGAGCAAAGGCUCCUCUUCAUCCACAUGAGGGAGCUCCGUUAACAUUAAUAGAAACUGCUUAAAAUGCCAUUAUUACAGUGAAAAGUGCAUCUCAGUCAGAAAGAACACAAGGGGAAGCAACAUAAAUUCAUAUUUUGAAGCAGAAUUCGUGAAACGAGACAAGGAGAUUCCUUCCUGGCAACAUCUUCCAAAUUCGAGCAAAUGGCUUUGGCACAUAAAAGUUCAUUUCCAGCUGAAAUGUCCAAGGAGAACCCUGAUAUCUGAAGGUCAUGGUGUAUCUGGAAGGGUCCUUAAGUAACCUUAAUGCACCCUGAAGUGUGUCAGGGCAGGUGACCCCCUAGAGAAAGAGGGAGAUAAAUCACCAUGAGAGCAGCUCCCUCACACAGCCAGGAACACGUUUUGGAAGGAUAACGUGCGCACAAGCUCUGAAGCUGGAGCC